rnacentral:rRNA from 1 species
AACGUAGGACGCAAGCGUUAUCCGGAAUUACUGGGCGUAAAGCGCGUGUAGGUGGUUUGAUAAGUCACUGUUGAAAUCUCCCGGCUAAACUGGGAGAGGUGCGGUGAGACUGUCAGGCUAGAGUACGGGAGAGGGAUGCAGAAUUCCGGGUGUAGUGGUGGAAUGCGUAGAGAUCCGGAGGAAUACCAGAGGCGAAGGCGGCAUCCUGGCCUGAAACUGACACUGAGACGCGAAAGCAUGGGGAGCGAACGGG